CAGCGAAGCUCGGAGCUCUGGGCGUGCGGCGGCUGCGGUGGCUCCUGGGCUCCUCCGUCCAACCCGGGCCGCGGAGCCUCUACGCGCACCCCAUCCCCCUCCCGGCUGCGGAGUCUGGCGGCGGCGGGGACUGCUCGGGACCCGGACCCCCGGCGCCUUUCGUCCCCUGUCCCCAUUGUGACCUGUCUCUUGGCCCCGGAGCCCUCCCGCCCCACCCGCGCCGGGGUCUCCAGCGCGAAGGGCUCAGUCUCUGGUGUCCCCGGCCUGGGGCUGGCAAGCUGGGAAACAUUUUCCUGGGCAUCUAAAAGUAUUGUGGACCUGAGACACUGUGCUUACAGGGCCUACUGGUUUUCACUGUAUGAGACCGAGAAUGGAUUAUGGCAGUUCCUCUUACCUCCGCUGCAUACUUGACUCCAUCCACGGUGUGC
rnacentral:lncRNA from 1 species